CAGUCGCCGCGGGAAAACGUAGGUGGCAAGCGUUGUCCGGAUUUAUUGGGCGUAAAGCGAGCGCAGGCGGUCAAUUAAGUCUGAUGUGAAAGCCCCCGGCUCAACCGGGGAGGGUCAUUGGAAACUGGUUGACUUGAGUGCAGAAGAGGAGAGUGGAAUUCCAUGUGUAGCGGUGAAAUGCGUAGAUAUAUGGAGGAACACCAGUGGCGAAGGCGACUCUCUGGUCUGUAACUGACGCUGAGGCUCGAAAGCGUGGGUAGCAAACAGGAUUAGAUACCCCCGUAGUCCCUGUCUCUUAUAC
rnacentral:rRNA from 1 species